rnacentral:piRNA from 1 species
GGAAGGGGUCUCAGCGGAGCUGU